rnacentral:lncRNA from 13 species
GGGAAAGUAUUCCUGUAUGACGAAAGAUGACGUUUCUGAAACGGCUGUGUUCAUGUUUAGAGCAGCACAAUCAGAGAUCUAACCUUUUUAAUUACCAGCUACAGUGGAUUAGAUAGUAGUAGAGACAGUAUUAACAGCUACAGUAGAUUAGUUAGUAGUAGAGACAGUAUUAACAGCUACAGUAGAUUAGAUAGUAGUAGAGACAGUAUUACCAGCUACAGUAGAUUAGAUAGUAUUACCAGCUACAGUAGAUUAGAUAGUAGUAGAGACAGUAUUACCAGCUACAGUAGAUUAGAUAGUAGUAGAGACAGUAUUAACAGCUACAGUGGAUUAGAUAGUAGUAGAGACAGUAUUAACAGCUACAGUAGAUUAGAUAGUAGUAGAGACAGUAUUACCAGCUACAGUGGAUUAGAUAGUAGUAGAGACAGUAUUAACAGCUACAGUAGAUUAGUUAGUAGUAGAGACAGUAUUAACAGCUACAGUAGAUUAGAUAGUAGUAGAGACAGUAUUACCAGCUACAGUAGAUUAGAUAGUAUUACCAGCUACAGUAGAUUAGAUAGUAGUAGAGACAGUAUUACCAGCUACAGUAGAUUAGAUAGUAGUAGAGACAGUAUUAACAGCUACAGUGGAUUAGAUAGUAGUAGAGACAGUAUUAACAGCUACAGUAGAUUAGAUAGUAGUAGAGACAGUAUUACCAGCUACAGUGGAUU